rnacentral:rRNA from 1 species
UACAGAGGGUGCAAGCGUUAAUCGGAAUUACUGGGCGUAAAGGGUUCGUAGGCGGUGUGGCAAGUCGGAAGUGAAAUCUCUGGGCUCAACCCAGAGGCUGCUCCCGAAACUGCCAUGCUAGAGUGCGGGAGAGGCGAGUGGAAUUACAGGUGUAGCGGUGAAAUGCGUAGAUAUCUGUAGGAACACCCGUGGCGAAGGCGGCUCGCUGGACCGCAACUGACGCUGAGGAACGAAAGCUAGGGGAGCAAACAGG